UUCAUCAGGAGUGGCGGAGGGACUGGCCCAAUGAAACCACGGCAACCAUUCGUAACGAAAACGGUGCCAAUUCCAGCGAGGUAACUCGGAAGAUGAU
rnacentral:ncRNA from 1 species